GUGUGUUUUAAAAUGAUUAGACGAAGCAAUGCACAAAGUAUAAUGAAUCGAAAAAGAAAAUCUGUAAGCACAAACACAAAUCCAUGUGAUCAUAUGAUCACAAACGAUAAUAUUAUCGUCGACGAUGACGA
rnacentral:lncRNA from 1 species